UCUUCUUUAGCUUAGUUAAGAGUAUCAGUGUGAAGUUCUGGAGGUAUAGAAAUAUAGGAAGAG
rnacentral:tRNA from 1 species